rnacentral:rRNA from 1 species
ACGGAAGGCAGCAGUAGGGAAUAUUGCACAAUGGGGGAAACCCUGAUGCAGCAACGCCACGUGUGGGAAGAAGCAUUUCGGUGUGUAAACCACUGUCGUGAGGGAAUAAUGCUUGGCCUCGGCCACGUUGAACGUACCUCGAAAGGAAGCACCGUCAAACUUCGUGCCAGCAGCCGCGGUAAUACGAGGGGUGCAAGCGUUGUUCGGAAUCACUGGGCGUAAAGGGAGCGCAGGCGGAGAUGCAAGCAGUCUGUACAAUACAGGGGCCCAACCCAGGAACUGCAGACUGGACUGUUUCUCUUGGAUAGUUCAGGGGCAAGCGGAAUUCCUGGCGUAGCGGUGGAAUGCGUAGAGAUCAGGAAGAACACCGAUGGCGAAGGCAGCUUGCUGGGGACUUAUCGACGCUCAUGCUCGAAAGUGCGGGUAGCAAACAGGAUUAGAUACCCUGGUA